GAGAGUCAAAGAGACCGCGAAACCGUUGGGAGGGAAACGAAUGUGGCCAUGAGGACUCCCUUCAGGUUCAGGGAGCCUCGGUUUGGGCGUUUGCGCGGUGGGGGACCCCCGGUGGGGCCCCGCCGGCGCAAGUCCUUCCAGGCUUCUGCAAUCCCCUCUGGAGUCCCCCAACGGCGGCCGUUGGCGGUGGAGGAGGGUCGUGGGGUAGGGGCCUCUUCGCCGAGCCCUCGCGGGUUUGGGGAGGAGAGCUUACANCCCUCGGCUCGGUGGACCGCGAACGCCCGAAGAGCGUUGCGACCAUUCGCACGGCGUAGCGCACCCCCCCCCCAAGGGAGGCCGGGUCGCUUCUGCACUUGCGUGCCUCGCGGCGAGCCACUGCUCGCAGUGACAGCUGACGGUAGGUGCGCUUGAGCGGGACGCGGGCCACGAUUUGCUCUUCCGUCGUUGGGGUGCGUA
rnacentral:rRNA from 1 species